CCCUUAGAUGUCCUGGGCCGCACGCGCGCUACACUGAUGCAUUCAACGAGUAUUUCCUUGGCCGAGAGGCCUGGGCAAUCUUUUAAACCUGCAUCGUGAUAGGGAUAGAUUAUUGCAAUUAUUAAUCUUGAACGAGGAAUUCCUAGUAAACGCAAAUCAUCAAUUUGCAUUGAUUACGUCCCUGCCCUUUGUACACACCGCCCGUCGCACCUACCGAUUGAAUGGUCCGGUGAAAUCUCGGGAUUGUGGCCAGUUCACUUUAUUGGGAGUUGGCUGCGAGAACUUGCUUAAACCCUAUCAUUUAGAGGAAGGUGAAGUCGUAACA
rnacentral:rRNA from 1 species